GGAAGUAAAGGUCGUAACAAGGUUUCCGUAGGUGAACCUGCGGAAGGAUCAUUAUUGUAUAACCGAGGUGCGAGGGCUGUCGCUGACCCGAAAGGUCGUGCACGCCCGAGUGCCCUCACACACAUCCAUCUCACCCCUAUGUGCACCACCGCGUGGGUCCCCCUUUGGCUUGUUCGGAGGGGGGCUUACGUUUUCACACAAUCUUUGUAUGCAGUGUAGAAUGUAUUUUUUGUUUUUGCGAUCACGCAAUCAAUACAACUUUCAACAACGGAUCUCUUGGCUCUC
rnacentral:misc_RNA from 1 species